rnacentral:rRNA from 1 species
GACAGAGGGGGCAAGCGUUGCUCGGAAUUACUGGGCGUAAAGGGCGCGUAGGCGGGAUGUCAAGUCGGUCGUGAAAUCCCUCGGCUCAACUGAGGAUCGUCGAUCGAUACUGCCGUUCUUGAGGAUUGCAGAGGAGACUGGAAUUCCCGGUGUAGAGGUGAAAUUCGUAGAUAUUGGGAAGAACACCAGUGGCGAAGGCGGCUCACUGGCCCGUAACUGACGCUGAGGUGCGAAAGCGUGGGGAGCAAACAGG